rnacentral:rRNA from 1 species
UACAUGGGGUGCAAACGUUGCUCGGAAUCAUUGGGCGUAAAGCGCGCGUAGGCGGUUACACAAGUUGGAUGUGAAAGCCCUCGGCUUAACUGAGGAAGUGCAUCCAAAACUGUGCAGCUAGAGUACUAAAGAGGGUCGCGGAAUUCCCGGUGUAGAGGUGAAAUUCGUAGAUAUCUGGAGGAACACCGGUGGCGAAGGCGGCAUCCUGGACCAACACUGACGCUGAGGAGCGAAAGCCAGGGGAGCAAACGGG